rnacentral:rRNA from 1 species
CACGUAGGGUGCGAGCGUUGUCCGGAAUUAUUGGGCGUAAAGAGCUCGUAGGCGGUGUGUCGCGUCGGCCGUGAAAACCUGCAGCUUAACUGUGGGCUUGCGGUCGAUACGGGCGGGCUGGAGUUCGGUAGGGGAGACUGGAAUUCCUGGUGUAGCGGUGAAAUGCGCAGAUAUCAGGAGGAACACCGGUGGCGAAGGCGGGUCUCUGGGCCGAUACUGACGCUGAGGUGCGAAAGCGUGGGGAGCAAACAGG